GUAUGUUUGCUGAGAUCUGCUUCAAUGUAGUGAAAAUGGUUAUUCUUCUUGCUUUUUUUUUUUUUUUUCUCUUUUUUUCAGUAAAUGUGCUGUUUUUCGGUUUUGUUUCCUGUAUGAGCUGUAACAUUCUUUGUAAAGCUCUGUGGUUUUGUUUUUGAAGGUAUGAAAAUAGAACCAACCCAUUUGUAGAGUUAAACAACUAUCAGGAGCGUAUGGCGUUAUGUAGUUUAUGACACUCACUGAAUGUUUUAGAGCUUUACUCUUGAGCCGAUGAGAUCGCUAAGCCCACCAUGAAAGAAGUAAAGGGAGGACAUACCGCUUUAAAGAACUUGUAACACCACACGGGUCUGUGGCUUCAUUCCCGAAGUCAGUAAGACCAAUGAACCCACCAGCACAGUGUUUUUGGUGAUGGUUGUUUUUAGCAACCUUAACUGUAAAAAUUUCUCGUUUAAAAUCAUGAAUUACGUGUUAAGGUUUCAACGUAUGAAUUUGUGGAGGGGGCUGGGCACAAUUCACU
rnacentral:lncRNA from 1 species